rnacentral:rRNA from 1 species
UGGGGAAUAUUGCACAAUGGACGGAAGUUUGAUGCAGCGACGCCGCGUGGAGGGUGUAGGCCUUCGGGUUGUGAACUCCUUUUUCUCGCGAAAAAGGCACAGUUUUGGCUGUGUUGAUGGUAGUGGGGGAAGAAGCGCCGGCUAACUACGUGCCAGCAGCCGCGGUAAUACGUAGGGCGCGAGCGUUGUCCGGAUUUAUUGGGCGUAAAGAGCUCGUAGGUGGUUCGUCGCGUCUGUCGUGAAAGCCAGCAGCUUAACUGUUGGUCUGCGGUGGGUACGGGCGGGCUUGAGUGCGGUAGGGGUGACUGGAAUUCCUGGUGUAGCGGUGGAAUGCGCAGAUAUCAGGAGGAACACCGAUGGCGAAGGCAGGUCACUGGGCCGUUACUGACACUGAGUAGCGAAAGCGUGGGGAGCGAACAGG